UGUAACUUAAGUAAAGUAAUAUUGAGUGCAAUUUUUUUGAAACUUUUCUGGAUUGAUAAAGUUUUGACAUGUGUUCUAGAUUUUUUUAAUUAACGAAUAGACGUGACUUUCUUCGUUCUCCGGUACCUUGAAACGGCUACAGAUUUUAUAUACAUUUAUGUACUUGAAUUGAUCAUUUUUUUUGCCACUGGAGUAUACUUAAAGAUGUUACAUUGAAUAAAUAUUUUGCGUUCUUAAA